rnacentral:rRNA from 1 species
GACGAACGCUGGCGGCAUGCCUAACACAUGCAAGUCGAACGAGACCUUCGGGUCUAGUGGCGCACGGGUGCGUAACGCGUGGGAACCUGCCCUUAGGUUCGGAAUAACUCCCCGAAAGGGGUGCUAAUACCGGAUAAUGUCUUCGGACCAAAGAUUUAUCGCCUUUGGAUGGGCCCGCGUUGGAUUAGCUAGUUGGUAGGGUAAAAGCCUACCAAGGCGACGAUCCAUAGCUGGUCUGAGAGGAUGAUCAGCCACACUGGGACUGAGACACGGCCCAGACUCCUACGGGAGGCAGCAGUGGGGAAUAUUGGACAAUGGGCGAAAGCCUGAUCCAGCAAUGCCGCGUGAGUGAUGAAGGCCUUAGGGUUGUAAAGCUAUUUUACCCGGGAUGAUAAUGACAGUACCGGGAGAAUAAGCUCCGGCUAACUCCGUG